UGGAUCCAGACUUUGAUCAUGGCUCAGGAUGAACGCUAGCUACAGGCUUAACACAUGCAAGUCGAGGGGAAACGACAUUGAAAGCCUGCUUUUGAUGGGCGUCGACCGGCGCACGGGUGAGUAACGCGUAUCCAACCUGCCCACCACUUGGGGAUAACCUUGCGAAAGUAGGACUAAUACCCAAUGACGUCUCUAGAAGACAUCUGAAAGAGAUUAAAGAUUUAUCGGUGAUGGAUGGGGAUGCGUCUGAUUAGCUUGUUGGCGGGGUAACGGCCCACCAAGGCUACGAUCAGUAGGGGUUCUGAGAGGAAGGUCCCCCACAUUGGAACUGAGACACGGUCCAAACUCCUACGGGAGGCAGCAGUGAGGAAUAUUGGUCAAUGGACGAGAGUCUGAACCAGCCAAGUAGCGUGCAGGAUGACGGCCCUAUGGGUUGUAAACUGCUUUUAUAAGGGAAUAAAGUGAGUCUCGUGAGGCUUUUUGCAUGUACCUUAUGAAUAAGGACCGGCUAAUUCCGUGCCAGCAGCCGCGGUAAUACGGAAGGUCCGGGCGUUGUCCGGAUUUAUUGGGUUUAAAGGGAGCGUAGGCCGGAGAUUAAGCGUGUUGUGAAAUGUAGACGCUCAACGUCUGCACUGCAGCGCGAACUGGUUUCCUUGAGUACGCACAAAGUGGGCGGAAUUCGUGGUGUAGCGGUGAAAUGCUUAGGUAUCACGAAGAACUCCGAUUGCGAAGGCAGCUCACUGGAGCGCAACUGACGCUGAGGCUCGAAAGUGCGGGUAUCGAGCAGGAUUAGAUACCCUGGUAGUCCGCACGGUAAACGAUGGAUGCCCGCUGUUGGUCUGAAUAGGUCAGCGGCCAAGCGAAAGCAUUAAGCAUCCCACCUGGGGAGUACGUCGGCAACGGUGCAACUCAAAUGAAUUGACGGA
rnacentral:rRNA from 1 species